GGGCAGAUGGCUUAGUGGUUUGAGCGUUGGACUGUGACUCUGGAGAUCAGGGUUUGAUUCCCUGCUUGGCCA